rnacentral:tRNA from 1 species
GCCGAAGUGGCGGAAUCGGCAGACGCACGGGACUUAAAAUCCCGCGGUGGCGACACCGUACCGGUUCGAGUCCGGUCUUCGGCACCA